rnacentral:misc_RNA from 1 species
GUAAAAGUUUCCACAGAAACUAAUGAAUUCAAAGUAAAAAAUUGCAUGUUACAAGUAAUCCUCAACUCUCAAGUGAUGGUAUAAUUGGUAGUGCUACAUUUUAUCAAACAUUGGCACAGGCAACAAUUAAUAACUUUAACAUUGUUACAAGCAAAAUUUAAUAACUCAAGAGAAGACAAUCCAAGCAACCUGUUAUUUUCACUCUACAAACACAAGUCUUGUCAUCAACUUAGCAAGUACUUGACUUAGGUCACAUUGAGAGCAAGGUUGAUUUUUACUACUAGAAGAAGCAUUUCUCUGUUGUCUCUGGCCAAAGGGAGAGCUGGAACGGACAGAACUGCGAUGAUCAGGUCUCCCUACUGUCUGAUUGACCUGAUCCUGGUUUUGCUUUAUACCUGAAGUUACCAAGAGAUCUCCAACUCUUCUCUGAAUUU